ACACGAACGAAACAAAUGCAUCUGUAAGCUUUCAAGUUUGUAGCCAGGCUUGGUUUUAUUUACGGUUUUUGGGCCACCAGGCAAAGCUGCCAAACAAGUUACAAUGUUAGAAAGACAAGAGCGUCAAUAAAGAAGAGUUAAUUGAGAAAGGAGGCUUAUGAUGCUUGAACACAAUGAGCAAGCUGAUUCGGCAACAGAGCUCUCACCUCCACCUUCCACCAGCCUCAAACAGGAUGUCAGUAACGAGAACCAAAGAAAACAUUUUAGAGAAAAGAAUGCAAAUCAGACCCCUUUAAGGCACCGUUACAGUAUUGCAGGGCGGACUCCGUUAUCACCUGGAUAUGGGGCUGUCGUGUCAGCACUUAGUAAGCUCAAUCGUUUGGAUGAUUUUGUCUUAGAACCACUGGCUAAAGGAUUUUUUUCUGAUGUAUCUAAGGAAAUGCUAGUCCAAGAAUGCUUAGAUCAACUAUGUACAAUUUACCCUAUACCCAAGAUAUGAUUGAACAGUCACAGCUUCUUAUGGCUUUAGUAGAAUCUCCCUUUGCUGAGCUACCAGAGAAUGAGUAUCCACCGCCCUUAGUUGACCAUGGACCAAAUAGACCAAUCAGGUGCAAUUGUUGUAAAGCCUACAUGUGUCCAUUUAUGCAAUUUGUUGAUGGUGGUCAUCGGUUCCAGUGUAACUUCUGCAAUUGUGUACAGAAGUUCCGCCAGAAUAUUUCCAACCAGUAGAUCAUAUGGGGAAAAGAGUUGACAUGUACGAACGAGCUGAGCUUUCCCUUGGUGCUUAUGAGUUCCUAGCCACAACAGAUUAUUGUAAAAAUAAUGAGUUUCCAAAGCACCUGCGUUUAUUUUUAUAAUCGAUGUUACAUAUCAGAGUGUUAAAACAGGAAUGGUGGAUCUGCUCUGUAAGGAGUUGAAAAAC